rnacentral:rRNA from 1 species
UACGUAGGAGGCAAGCGUUAUCCGGAUUUAUUGGGCGUAAAGAGCGCGUAGGCGGCUUAACAAGUCGGAUGUGAAAUCUCCCGGCUUAACUGGGAGGGGUCAUUCGAUACUGUUGAGCUAGAGGGCAGCAGAAGGAGAUGGAAUUCCCGGUGUAGUGGUGAAAUGCGUAGAUAUCGGGAGGAACACCAGUGGCGAAAGCGGUCUUCUAGGCUGUUGCUGACGCUGAGGCGCGAAAGCGUGGGGAG